GUUCAGACUUGUGCUCUUCAUAUCUUCACCCCGGACCGCCCGGAUCCCACGAGUGAUCGAAAGUUAGAUCUACAUUGGAUCUCACCUGAAUCGCCCCAUCUAUCCUCCUGAG